ensembl:lncRNA
GAAUUUCCUAAUGUGCAUCUUUUGGCAAUCCUAUUUUCCCAGUUCCCAUUGCCUCUGCUUUUGGAUGAGGAAACUGUCGUUUAAGGAGGACGUCCAAAACUGUGAUUAGUAAUAUGCUGAGGGGAAACUGAGGCAAUGUCGGGAAAGCUGCACCAAUCACACUGCGAAAGUCUGGAUCAAGCAAGACCAGAAGUCGAGGCAGAAAGGACGAGAUCAGCUGCUGGUUCAGCUGGACAGGUCCCUGGAAAUACCUCCACACCAAUAUCAGCUAAUGGUGGCAGCCCAGGGCGAUAGGCAACUCCACCUCUGGAAUCCGCCCCAGCUGCUCGCUCAAUGCCUGAGUGCAUUCAUUGGCCCCUGACUCUCGAGAGACACUUCUUAGGGGUGACAUCACACUGAGAGGACGCCGUGCUGUAAGUCUGCAGACCGGAGCAGACUAGAGCCUAGUGCUUUUCUUACCCCAUCCCAUGGAAAGGACAUACUGGAAUAUGUAAAACAGCACUCCACACCAUGUGGCUAAUAAAUGUCAUUUCUCUACAUUCUGACUGCUCACCUGACCUUAUAGGGAACUAGGGAGAAAAAUCACCAUUAAGUCUCAACCUGUGUGUACUUCAGACAUUGAGUGUCCCCAAAAGCCUUUGUCGAAGGCUUGGUUCCAAAGGAGCCACUGUUAGAGAUGGUGGAGCCUAGUGAAAGGUAUCUCGGGAUGGGGAGGAGCUCUACUGGAAAAGGGUUACAGGCUCCUGCUUCCUCUCCUCUCUUUGAUUCCCUGUUCAUGGUUUAGUACCAUUCCUCUACCACACUCUGGUCAUGACGUGUGGCCUUCUCAGGGCACAGCUUGUCAGGGGCCCAAAGCAAUGAGCUACUUAAUCACAGACCGGAAGCUACAGAACUAUGAGCCAAAAUAAACCUUUUUCUGAUCCAUUAACAGUCUCGGGUAUUUUGGAAGCUGGUUGAUACACCUGUUAACCAGAGCCACAGAGGGUCAGGUUUCUCUUCUCCAUUCCCAAAGAGGGUAAGGCCCAACAUGGUAGCGUCCUUCACACUCAACACCGUGUUGUAACACUCACUAAUUAAGAGUGGAGGGAGUUUCUCAGUGGGACAGUUUGUCAUUAAACACAUCCCAGAGAAGUAAGGGUUUCAUUCCAGAUGUUUGAUACUGUGCAGGAUGCUGGGGAUUUAAUUAUAAUGAAAAACAAGUAUGGUGUCAGCUUCCUGGAGCUCAAAAUCUUCCCUCC